rnacentral:tRNA from 1 species
GAGGGUAUAGCUCAGUGGUAGAGCUCAUACCUAGCAUGCAUGAGGUCCUGGGUUCAAUCCCCAGUACCUCCA